rnacentral:rRNA from 1 species
GUGCCAGCAGCCGCGGUAAUACGGAGGGUGCUAGCGUUGUUCGGAAUUAUUGGGCGUAAAGAGCGUGUAGGCGGCCGGGUAAGUCAGAUGUGAAAUCCCUUGGCUUAACCAAGGAAGUGCAUUUGAAACUGUCUGGCUUGAGUACGGGAGGGGGAAGCGGAAUUCCCGGUGUAGAGGUGAAAUUCGUAGAUAUCGGGAGGAACACCAGUGGCGAAGGCGGCUUCCUGGACCGAUACUGACGCUGAGACGCGAAAGCGUGGGGAGCAAACAGGAUUAGAAACCCCUGUAGUCC